AACUAUAAAAUAAUGGAUAACAAAAUUAAGAUUUCGUACCUGUAUGAAAAUUGGAAUAUUGAUAAUUAUCCAGAAAAUGUACAUUGUUUUUAAAAACAUUUCCGAUACUAAGGCACAAGUGAUUUAACUGUAAAAUCAACACUGGAUCUCGAGUGACGUCCCUUCCGAAAUAAUGAAUAAUAUAUUAGACAAAACAAAUGAAAACGAAACCGAACAUGUUUCGUCAGCUAGUCAUAACCUGGACGAAACUAACCCGAGACAGUUGUAUCCAGCAGAGGUCGAGGUCCAUAUAUCCAUCCUCUGAAAAUGAGUAUGGAAAUGUGAUUCAAGUCUGACAAUAUCAGAGGUGAAACAAGUUUAAAACGUACUUAUUCCCUAGAUUUUGCGGUUGCUAUUGACGAACCAACAUCUGGUGGAAUCGAAUGCUUAAAUCAAGACUUCACUGUUGAAGAAAACAAACAAACUGGUGACAUUCCUGAACUUCCUGAUGGAAAAGACAGAUACUUCUUUAUAUCUCACAGCAGUGAUGACAGCGAUAAGGUGUUCUCAGUCGUACAAGACCUUGAACAUCGUUUCAGUGUGUCAUGUGUGUACGCCGACCGGGAUUUCCAGCCAGGAAAAGAUAUUUCAGAAAACAUCAAGGAUGGAAUGGCACGCUCAAUGAUGGUAUUGAUGUUCCUAGUCUUCAAAGUUCCUCCGAAGCGGGUUUUGCAAAUUAGAGAGUGACAUUGCUUUCAUGAGGUCUAUGGAAAAUGGAGCAAAUUGUAUUAUUCCAAUACUGCUGGAGCCAUGUGAAAUACCAGUCACGCUGAUAGCUUUAACUUACAUCGAUGCAACUGCUCCUGAUAUAGAUACACCUGCAAAAAUAGUUUCUGCUCUAAUACAAGGAGAGGCUGACUGUUUACCCUAUUCAGAAAUGAAUGAAAAUGGUUACAGCAUUACUCUUCAAGCACAAACAACUUCUCGCAUUCUUCACUGUCUACGGAUUCCAACCAAGUACCAGUUUAAAAUAGACACACAUCUCUUACAGAAGCUUGAAAGCAACAAAAUAAAGGUUUCAGAGCGACUUUUGGAAGAUGCAACAAGAACAAUCAACCAAGAUUCUGUGAUGAAUUCCUACGAUUAUCUUCGAAGAAGGAAUAUUGUUUGUUGGAGUGUGUUGACAAUUCCAUUCUUCGUACUGUUGUUUUUCUUCUUGUAUUAUAUGACCAUUGUCACACGUGCAUUCUAGGACACCUUUCUCGGAAGAAGAUACGCGAUUUAUUACCAAUACUUUUGCCUAUUUAAUGACAUGCAUGCCUUCAGUUUACGGCUUCUUUGCGUUGCUACUGAUAUGCGUUUUGCCGAUAAUCUGUCGCAGACGAAAAGCAGUAGUUAGACUACAGAAAACUUUACUACAUCUAUAUGAAGACGAAUUCAUCAGCAAUAACAUUCUUCUUAUCUUCUCGGGUAGAAAAUACAAACUACCAACUUUACACAUCAUGCAUUACAACAUUAAAAGAUGCAGAGACUAUCUAACUGUACUUGUGAAAAAGAGAAAUCCACAUUCUACAUGUGAAGAUGCGGAGGUAUAUGCGCGUUCGCUUAUCCAUGCGCAUUUGGAGGAAAUUAGUUUGGUGCUAGCAGAAAACUUCGAGAGUCUACCAGAGCGACCAUAUAACAGACAUACUGUAAAGAAAGGCAGAAUGUGCAUGUGUCAGAUCAUAGAAAACGAAGGCAUGCACUGAGAAGAAAACAUAAGGGAUAGAGGGACAUCAUUACUCCAUCUUAAAGUAUCAAAUAGACCUAUGUGAAAAACAAACAUAAAUACAUGUAUGUAAAUUACGUGUUGUGAAUGCAAACUUAAAUAAUUAGAUAUUUUUAGGAGGAAUACAGGAGUAUAUUUUUCCUGUUAGUAUUUCUUCUCUUUUUUUUUUUUGGCAGUGUAGUGGUGCCAGCAGAUAAGAGAUUUGUAGUAACUCUUACGUUGGACAUAACUAGCUUCUAAGUACGACUUACUACCUCGUACGCAGGACGUUUCCGAACUCCAAUGUAUAACUUACUUUCAGUUCUGUCCUUGUCUUGCAUUAAUCAUGCGAUUUAUGUGUGUGUCCCAGGAUAGGCCAGUGGAUGUUAGGAAACUUAUUCUACUUAUACAUUAUAUAGGAAAUAAUUAGUUGUAACUGGAUUUUUAGAUCUGCUCAUACGAUUGACUUGAUAUUUUGAGUAUCUAUUCAGUGUUUUGAGAAUGCAUAAGUGAUUGAAUUGAUAUCAGAUACUCACUGAAGGAAUGCAAUAAAUGUUCCAGAAACCAGGAGUGUACAGGAACACGACAUAUCUUAGUUUUACUGUGAUUUCAAAUGAAUGCAUUCUUUGUCAAAUGCUAUUAUCAGUUUUAUAAUAAUUUGAUGAGAAUUCCUCAAAUUUAUUUGGUAUUUAAUUGUUAUCAGUUGUUAAGUUAAGUAAAUAGUGUAAGGUUCAUGGUCUACUAACCUACUAAUGAACAUUAUUAACGUAUCUGGCAUCUCAAGAAACAUGUUGCAUGAAUAAAACAAGGAUGAAUAUCCAACAGGGAAAGCCACGUUCUAAAAACGCAGCCUCCCCAAACUUAAACCCAGCAUGCGGACUCGCACACGACCAACACACACACUCACACAAAGCAAACACACAAGGACAAAACGAAGAAAUAAAGGAACACAGUGGGGGCAUCGCCUUAGAACGGUUAGUGGCAAAACCAACACUGUGGAGCUUAAACCGGCUUACAUUGCACCUGACCUCACUCU
rnacentral:misc_RNA from 1 species